GUCUUUGUGCCCGAAUUGUCACCGUAGGGUGCGCGUGGCUAGAAAUCUCUAGUCUAGGGCACAAUAGACGCUU
rnacentral:sRNA from 1 species